CUGCGGAGGGAUCAUUACAGAGUUAUCUAACUCCCAAACCCAUGUGAACUUACCACUGUUUGCCUCGGCAGAUGUUGCUGGGCGAACCUACCCUGUAGCGAGCUACUCUGUAGCGACCUACCCGGGAACGGCUUACCCUGUAGCGCCUGCCGGUGGACUACUAAACUCUUGUUAUUUUUAAGUAAUCUGAGCGUCUUAUUUUAAUAAGUCAAAACUUUCAACAACGGAUCUCUUGGUUCUGGCAUCGAUGAAGAACGCAGCGAAAUGCGAUAAGUAAUGUGAAUUGCAGAAUUCAGUGAAUCAUCGAAUCUUUGAACGCACAUUGCGCCCAUUAGUAUUCUAGUGGGCAUGCCUGUUCGAGCGUCAUUUCAACCCUUAAGCCUAGCUUAGUAUUGGGAACUGGCUUUACUGCCAUUCCUCAAAUUCAACGGCGGAUUUAUAGCAAUCUCUGAACGUAGUAAUUUUUUUCUCGUUUUUGAAAUAGCUGUAAACCUCAGCCGCUAAACCCCCCAAUUUUUAAUGGUUGACCUCGGAUCAGGUAGGAAUACCCGC
rnacentral:rRNA from 1 species